rnacentral:tRNA from 1 species
GGACCGGUUACCGUAGUGACCGAACGGCCCUGACUUUUAAUCAGGUUGGCGCAAGCCACAACGCAGGUUUGACUCCUGCCCGGUCCCCCA